ACAGAUGAAGGCGAUUAUCAGGUCAAACUACGCAACCUGAAACGCUUUUUAGAAGGCGGCGACAAGGUCAAGGUAACGUUACGUUUCCGUGGUCGUGAAAUGGCCCACCAAGAACUUGGUUUAGAGCUUUUAACGCGUGUUAAAAACGAUUUAGAAGAGCUAACCGUAGUGGAGUUUUUCCCUCGUCGAGCGGAAGGGCGUCAAAUGGUGAUGGUCUUAGCCCCUAAAAAAUAGAUAAUACCCGGUUUGACAAGUAGCUAAGUAUUUUUCGAAAUAGUUAGCUCACCGCUAUUAUCUUUACGCUGGUAAACAAGGCCUACAAGUAGGGUUCGAGCACUUA
rnacentral:misc_RNA from 1 species